GCGAGGUGGAGCAAAUCCCUAAAAGCCAUCCCAGUUCGGAUUGCGGGCUGCAACCCGCCUGUAUGAAGUUGGAAUCGCUAGUAAUCGCGGAUCAGCAUGCCGCGGUGAAUACGUUCCCGGGCCUUGUACACACCGCCCGUCACACCAUGAGAGUCGGGAACACCCGAAGUCCGUAGCCUAACCGCAAGGGGGGCGCGGCCGAAGGUGGGUUCGAUAAUUGGGGUGAAGUCGUAACAAGGUAAC
rnacentral:rRNA from 1 species